GACGAACGCUGGCGGCGUGCCUAAUACAUGCAAGUUGAGCGCUGAAGGUUGGUCCUUGUACCAACUGGAUGAGCAGCGAACGGGUGAGUAACGCGUGGGGAAUCUGCCUUUGAGCGGGGGACAACAUUUGGAAACGAAUGCUAAUACCGCAUAAAAACUUUAAACACAAGUUUUAAGUUUGAAAGAUGCAAUUGCAUCACUCAAAGAUGAUCCCGCGUUGUAUUAGCUAGUUGGUGAGGUAAAGGCUCACCAAGGCGAUGAUACAUAGCCGACCUGAGAGGGUGAUCGGCCACAUUGGGACUGAGACACGGCCCAAACUCCUACGGGAGGCAGCAGUAGGGAAUGUUCGGCGAUGGACGAAAGUCUGACCGAGCAACGCCGCGUGAGUGAAGAAGGUUUUCGGAUCGUAAAACUCUGUUGGUAGAGAAGAACGUUGGUGAGAGUGAAAAGCUCAUCAAGUGACGGUAACUACCCAGAAAGGGACGGCUAACUACGUG
rnacentral:rRNA from 1 species